UGGCCACAGGCAAGAAGCCAGGAGCCUGUUUACACAAAUGCUCCCUGCUCAGGGAAGGCUGCCCAAGUCACUCCUUCCUGCUGUCCCCAGACCCGGGCUACUAAGGUCUAGGGGUCCGGAAGGCAGGGUUAGUCCCAGGCAACCACAGUGACGCUCCAGGGGGCUCUGCUGAAGGACAAGGACCUCCUCCUCCUGCAUCUCAGCCUCCCCAGCAGCCACAGCCAAGAGCCCUGCCAAGCUGAUGGGACCCACUCCAUCAACAAGCAGGUGACAGCUUCUUCAGGAGAGAGGUCUGCCCUGGGUGCAAACCAACCUUCCAGAGGGAACAUCCUUCCCCUAGAAACUCCGAGGCCAAGAUUAGCCAUGAGGAUAAAACCCAGAGAUCAGACACAGAGACCCGGGGUCAGGCCUUUGGCCACGUGGCCUGGCAGCCUCACCUUGCGGAGUCACAGAGAGGCAGAGCCCCAAGUGAGCCUGGGGAGCCCUGCACCAGCCUGGGUUCCGGCCCUUCCCUCCCCCCAUUGCUUCUCAUCACCUCUCCCCACUACUCUCCCCUCUCUGGCCCAGAGGGUCCCUGGGAGUCUGGGAAAGCGCCCUGGAUUGUCUGGCUCCUCCCAGGGCUGGGACGCCCAUUGCCAAGAGAGCACUCAGAAGCCGCCUGUUGGCUUUUAGGACUUUUAUUGCCCAAGGUCCCGAGGUCUGGGUGGGACCGCAAGGGGCUGCCCCUGUCCCCAGAGCUGUGCCUGGCCAUCCUGGUGGGAGGGCUCGGCUAGAAGAAGUUGACCACCCUGCGGAGCGACUGCACCCGCGCGCUGUGGGCCUCCCAGUCGGAGAAGCUGCGGAAGUCGCCCCUCUCCACCACGUACAUGCGGCCGCGGUAGUUGGGCUCCUCGUACAGGACCCACCUGGAGGCCAGGGGAGUGGGAAUCAGGGGCUGCCGGGAAGCCCCCCUGGACUCCAGACAGAAGAGCUUGCACAGCCUGGCCACCCAGCAACCCCUCCCGGCCGAGCGGCCCUUUCACUCUGGGCUACACGAAGGCACCCACGGUGCCCACCUUGGCUUUUAUUUCCUUCCUCAGUGCCGUGUGGGGUCCGUGCAGGGGUGUGACACCUGUGGGGACAGGCCUAGUAACGUCCACAUUUUAAAACUGACCAGUCCUGGCCGGGUGUGGUGGCUCAUGCCUGUAAUCCCAGAACUUUGGGAGGCCGAGGCAGGCAGAUUUCUUGUGGUCAGGAGUUCGAGAGCAGCCUGGCCAAUGUGGUGAAACCCCGUGUCUACUAAAAAUACAAAAAUUAGCUGGGCGUGGUGGUGCAUGCCUGUAAUCCCAGCUACUCAGGAGACUGAGGCAAGAGAAUUGCUUGAACCAGGGAGGCGGAGGUUGCAGUGAGCCGAGAUCGCGCCACUGCAUUUCAACCGUCCUUGGCAAGGAUGCACUCCCGCCAUCACUGCACACCCACGCACUCCUGUUCCCUGAUAAGGACCACCUUGCACAGACAGUGCCCCCAGCACCUGAUGGGGGGCCUGGCACAGAGGGCACCAUUCAUUCAGUGAAUGCCAGUGGGUUCCCACAUGUGUGCCCAACACCGUGUCAGGUACCAGAGGUGCCAUGGUCACAUGACAUGGUUCCUGCCCCCUCCUGCCCUCAUGGGGCCUCCCCUGCAGAGGAAAUGGGCUGUGGGGGUACAGUUGCACAGAGGAGCCUGCAGGGCACAGAGGAGGGUCAGGGAGUCCCAAGUGGGGCCCCUUCCUCUCCUCCUCCCCUUCUGCACACCUCCGGGGCAGCCACCAACAAUCCAGAGAGCAGAAACAGUCAGGACAAGUCUUUACGGAGCCUGGAGGACCUGGGGCUGGUGGGGGCAGGAGAGAACACAGCCCUUCGUCACCCAGGAAGCUGUGGGCCCGGCCCAGAAAAGCAGGAAGGUGCGGUGGGGAGGGAAUGGGGGACCAGGAGGAAGGGACUGGAGGUCCAGGGGAGUGGCCUCUGCCUGGGAAGGGGCAUGUGAUACAAGGAAGACGCCUCAGGACAGCUCGGAGCAGGGGCUGGCCCGACCCUGUCCUUCCCUCACCAUCUCUGAGACGAGCGAGGCUUGUCACACUUGGUGCCUGGCACAGUCUGCUGCCUCGAGGGUUGGCGCCAGGAAGGAACAGAGAGAGGCAGAGGGUGUGAGCCAGCCUGGAGCACCUGCUGGGGGACUCAGGGCAGGCCUGGUCCAGCCUGGACCCCACCCUCAUGGCCCCCCGCGUCCAUGCUCCUUCACACCUGGAGCUUUCUGACCCCACACCUAUGCCAUAGCUGGGGCCUCAGAGGCACCUCAGGGAGUCAGCUGGUCCUUUCCUACCCUGUGGUGGGCAAGAAAUACCCUAAGCCAUGUCCUGGGCCACAUGAGGGUGCUCACAUGGACACCCCCAAAAGGAGGGGGCAGGGAACUGCCCAUCCUCCUGUCCCCUGUCCUGGCUGUGGCUACUGGGAGGAGGCAGAAAGGGGAAGGGGCAGGGGCCUGUCCUGCCCACAUGAGCACCGUGCCCUUCCCCAGGUGGGGGUGGUUGGGGGCAGAAUGCCAGCACAUUUUCCUCCGAAAGCCCACCAGGACAUGGAUCUGAGGGGACGGGUCAUGCCUGGGCUGAUGUGGGACCCAGAGGGAAGGGGUCUUGGCAGUGGGAGGUGGUGAAGGGGCCCUGCCUCGCCCACUCUCCAGACCCCAGGAAAGGCCUCCUAGCAGUGUCCCCUCCGGAUCCAGGGGACCCGGGGGCGUUACCUCCUUGACAAGGGCUUACAUUUGUGUAAGAGUUAGAGUCUUAGGCGGCAAAGGCUGAGCACCUGGGCCCCCACCUGGGGGACUGACGGCUGGCUCCUUGCAGGGACGGUGGGGAUUGAAGGAGAUGGACUGUGUGCUCCUCAGUCAGAGAAAUGUUCAUCUCCACCUUCUCCACCUUCCUUCUCAACAAGCCCCUGAGUGCCUGAGUGCUGGGGUGGGCGGGGGGAUUGUGUCUCUGGCCUCAGGACAUCCUCCAUGCAAAGGUGUGACUUGGGCCUUACAAGACACAAUUUAGCCAGCAAGUUUUCCAGGGCAAAUUCUUGUUUUGGAAUGCCACCCCUGGGCUCCAGGUGCCACCAAUUUAGAGCAACAUGCAAUUUUGUAAAAUGGAAUCCUGGAGCUAGCUAGAGUGACAGAAACAGCAGAUUUCCGCCACUAUCAGGCCACCAGGGAAAGGUGGGAUGUACACAGUCCCUCCUAUCCCUGGGAACUGGUUCCAGGACUUCCCUUGGAUGUCAAAAUCCAAGGAUGCUCAAGUUCCAGAUAUAAAAUGGCAUUGUAUUUGCAUAUAACCCAUGCGUAUCCUCCCAUAUAUAGUAAGUCCUCGCUUAACCCCAUCAGUAGGUAUUUGGGAACCGUGGCUUUCAGCACGCGAUAUAUAACAAAGCCAUUUCUCCCCUCAUCAAUCUUAUAAUGAACCCACAUUGAACAAGACAACAUAUUCGAGGACCUGCCAUACAUCAUUUCAUUUAAAGUCACAGUCUCCAAGAACCUAUCCCCAAUGUUAAGUGAGGACUUACUGGACUUGAAAUCAUCUCCAGAUUACUUAUGAUACCGAAUCCAACGUAAAUGCUAUGUAAAUAGCUGUACGGUAUAUUUCAGGGAAUAAUGUACAUAUUCAGCAUAGACACAAUUGUGGGGGGAUAGUUUCACUGUGCAGUCGGAGCCCACGGACAUGGGGUGCCACCUGUGUCCAGCUCUGCCUUGGCUCAGUCUCUGUCUCCCUGCAGUCCCUCUGCCCCCUGCAUCCUCUCCAGAGCUCCCUGGCCUUGAACCUCUGGAGUAUAGAAGGCAAAUUGUUCUUCAAUUGCUUUGAUAGGAGCCAGAACCAUGCACAGCCAGCUGGAACCUGUGUGAGGGGCUCUUGGCCUGAGGGGAGGGAACUGAGGCCUGGGAAAGCGGCCAGCUGUGGAACAGGGACAGACACAGGCUUGGCUGUAGUCUCAGCUGUGCCACUCCCAUGGGACGGCUGGGCCGUCAGCCUUCUGAGUCUCAGCUUGCCCUUUGUAGAACGGGGGCAAUAAUAUCUACCUGACGCAGAGGUGUGGGCUGGACAAUGAAAACAGAUGGCCAACUUGAAGGUGCUCAGAGGGUAGUUGCAAAAGGGGAGUAUGCGGGAGGGCAGGAGGGGGCACGAAGGCUGCCCUUGGUUGACCAGGAGGAAACCCAAGUGUGGGGCAGACAAACCCGUCUGGGCCUGGGCACAAUCCCCCUGGCUACUCUCUGUCCAGAAGUGAGCCACCCUGAAGUCCGUCUUCCCCCAGAGGCCAGGGUGCUGGGGGUUUGCAGAGAGGCCCGGUUCAGGGGUCAGCUUUGCUGGGUAGGCGCUGGGCAGGGUGGGCUGGUCCACCCUUCUCCGAGCAGGUGAGCCCGCUGUGGCUUUCCAGCCCAUAAGGCCCUGGGGGAUCCUUUGGUAAGCAGGUGUCCCCCGGCUCAAGCAAACCAAAGGCGGUCUCCUGCAUCAGAUCAAUCGCAGAGAACUGUGCAGCUUUCAAGGUCCUCUCCUACCUCUGUUCCUGGACCGAUGCCCUAUAGGGAAGGUCUCAGGAUGCCUCUGGGGCCCAGGGUCCCUCUCUGAGGCCCUUCUGGGCCAUAGGGGAAGCUCCCUGCUGCUUGACUGGGGCAGGUGAGGCAGCUGAGGAAAAGAGAGGGCCUGUGGGGCCAGGGACACGCUGCCCCCUGCUGCAGGUCUCAUUCCCACCCCACCCACCAGCCCUGCAUGGCGGGCAGCCUCGCACGCCUGGUGCUGAAGGGCCUAGCUGGGCCUCGGGGUGCGGCCACGUGGCUGGCCUGUACUCACGCUCCGUCCCCGUACACCUUGAUGGCGUUGAUGCAGUUCUUGGCCCAGCCCCCACUCUGCAGGAAGGGGCAGUCCUCCAGGAACUCCAGGCACUGGCCCGUGAAGUUGCAACCCUCGAAGAUUUCCAGGCGGAAAUGUUCCCCGUGCUCCAAGACCAAGCGAAAAAGAAGGAAAGAAGGAGCCUGCUGUGAAUUCCCCUCUCCCAGAAACAGAAGCCCCGGGCAGGAAGGAAUUAGGAGGCACCCAGGGCACUGGGCACCCCCAUCCCACAUACUUCAACCCCGCACUUCUGUUUGUUCUUCCACAUGAGAUGUGGUUGGAAGAAAGGGUUCUAUUACUCUAAAACUGUUUCAAGCCACUGAGCUGGUCUAAGCACCUCUUUCUACAACUAGAAAAUCUGAGGUCCAAAGACAGCCAAACUGACCAGAGGCCAGCGCUCAGGCUCAGGCUCAGACCAGGGCUGGGGUCUCGGGGCUCCCUCUGGGUGCUCAGCCUGGGGAACUUCUGCCCUGGUCACACCAACACACUCCCGUUUCUGACUUCACUCCAGGGCCGCAGCCCACAGGCAAGCCUUCAAAUGAUAACGUUUUAAAACUGUAAUAGAACCUUUUAGUAAAACAUAAAGCCAAAAAUCUAAAACAAA